rnacentral:misc_RNA from 1 species
GAUGAAGAACGUAGCGAAAUGCGAUACUUGGUGUGAAUUGCAGAAUCCCGUGAACCAUCGAGUCUUUGAACGCAAGUUGCGCCCGAAGCCAUUAGGCCGAGGGCACGCCUGCCUGGGCGUCACACGUCGUUGCCCCCCCCAUCUACUCCUUCGGGACUGCGGGGGGCGGAUGAUGGCCUCCCGUGCGCCUCGCCGCGCGGUUGGCAUAAAUGCCAAGUCCUCGGCGACGCACGCCACGACAAUCGGUGGUUGCGAAACCUCGGUUGCCCGUCGUGUGCGGUCGUCGCGCAUCGAGGGCUCGAAAAAAUUGCCGAGUUCCGGCUCGGCUUUCAACGCGACCCCAGGUCAGGCGGGGUUACCCGCUGAAUUUAAGCAUAUCAAUAAGCGGAGGA